GAUUAACGCUAGCGGCAGGCAUAAUACAUGCAAGUUGAACGGCAGCACAGGUAGCACUACUGGGUGGCGAGUGGCGCACGGGUGCGUAACACGUAUGCAACCUACCCUAUACAGGCGAAUAACCUUUAGAAAUGAGGGCUAAUACGCCGUAGUAUUACAGAUGGGCAUCUAUUUGUAAUUAAAGAUUUAUCGGUAUAGGAUGGGCAUGCGUCCCAUUAGUUAGUUGGUAAGGUAACGGCUUACCAAGACGAUGAUGGGUAGGGGAUCUGUGAGGACUUACCCCCACACUGGUACUGAGACACGGACCAGACUCCUACGGGAGGCAGCAGUAAGGAAUAUUGGGCAAUGGCCGCGAGGCUGACCCAGCCAUGCCGCGUGCAGGAAGACGGCCUUAGGGGUUGUAAACUGCUUUUAUACGGGAAUAAUAGAGUGUACGCGUACAUUUAUGCAAGUAUCGUAUGAAUAAGCAUCGGCUAACUCCGUG
rnacentral:rRNA from 1 species